rnacentral:rRNA from 1 species
UUUGCAUCUCUUUUAGAUAAAGACCCUCAAUUUCACCCUUACUUCUCAAACUUAGAAGACAUCAUGAGCAUCAAAUAUUUAGAUCUUUUGUAUUACUGAUGCUAAUGCUGUCUUCCGCUCUUAAUUGUUAGUGAUUAAAAUAUUCCUGCUCGAGAGGAAGAUCUGCAUUUCUCCAUUUUCUUCAUAGGCCAAAAAACAGCAUCUCGUAGCAUUUUGGCCUAUGAAGAAAAUGGAGAAAUGCAGAUCUUCCUCUCGAGCAGGAAUAUUUUAAUCACUAACAAUUAAGAGCGGAAGACAGCAUUAGCAUCAGUAAUAAUUAAGAGCAUAUUCAAAGUAGGUAUUACUCAUAAGCAGCAUAGAUCAAUAGAGAAGAAGAUAAGCAGCAUCAAACAAGAGCUAUAUACCCAACGGGGGGUUACAAUACCCAGGAGCAGCACAAUAAGAAGAGCUUUAAAAGCAAGCAGCGCCAGCAGUCAUUAAAAUAAGAGCAAAUAGAGCAUUUAUUAAUAAAGAGCAUAAAGAAGCAAGCACACAAUAGGCUGCUGAAUGCAUAAGACCUAUAAGAGUCAUUGACUCGUAAGCAGCAACAGAGCUAUCAAAGCAGCAGAGCUAACAAGCAUUAAAGAGCCAUCAAAACAGCAAGAGCAUAAAUAAUUAAGAGCAAAGCCAAGGAGGAGUCCUAAUACUCAAUAAAGCAGCAUCAAAGAGCUAUCACAGCAGCUGCAGAAUAAUAAGAGCUUAAAUAAACAAGCAGCAACAUAAAAGAGCUUAAAAGAGCAUAGAAUAAUAAAGCAGCAACAGGCAACAGAAGCAUUAGCAAGAGCAUGUUAGGCAUUAAGCCAUUGAGCAAAGCAGCACAAUAAGAGCAACAUAAAAGAGGCACUAAGUCCUCCGAGAGCAGGCCGUAAGACCUCAAGAGCAGCAAUAGCAGAGCGAAUCUAAAUAGCAAGAGCUUAUUUAUUAUUAAGCGCAACUAACAGAGCAUUAGAGCAAGAGAGCUUUAUUGAAGCAGGCACAGAGCUAAGCACUAAUAGCAUAGCAGCAACAAGAGCAAUAAUUAAUAACAAAGCAAUAUAUAAGAGCAGAUAGUUAUAAUAACUAGAGAGCAAGAGCGAUAACGAGCUAAGCAGCUGUACAUCAGCCAUAUAAGCAGCAACUGAGCUAUUAAGAGCAGGCAAGCCUAAAGCAGCAUAAGGUAUGAUACCUAAAAGAGCAUAGAGCAGAACAAUAAGCAAGAGCAACAGAGCAAUAUUAUACAUAUUAGUAAAUAAAACAGAGCUAUUAUUCUUUAAUAGAGCUUGAGCAGGAGGCAACAAUAACAGAGCAUACAGAAAGAGCAUCAGUAAAGCACCAGCAUAAAUAAGCAGCAACAAGAGAGCAUAGUAAUUAAUAUUCAACAGCAGCAGAGCGAUAGCAGCAGAGCAGGCAAGAGCAAGUAAAGCCAUAAGAGCAGAAGAGCAGAAGUAGCAAGCACUAAUGCAAUAAGAGCC